GGGUUGUGAGGUUAAGCAAUUAAGCGUACACGGUGGAUGCCUAGGCAGUCAGAGGCGAUGAAGGACGCGCUAAUCUGCGAAAAGCGUCGGUAAGCUGAUAUGAAGCGUUAUAAGCCGGCGAUGUCCGAAUGGGGAAACCCAGUGCAAUGCGUUGCACUAUCAUUAACUGAAUCCAUAGGUUAAUGAGGCGAACCGGGGGAACUGAAACAUCUCAGUACCCCGAGGAAAAGAAAUCAACCGAGAUUCCCCCAGUAGCGGCGAGCGAACGGGGAGGAGCCCAGAACCUGCAUCAGCCACAGCAUCAGAGGAACGGUCUGGAAAGGCCGGCGAGAGAGGGUGACAGCCCCGUACUCGAAGAUGGCGUGGUUGUGAGUUCGAUGAGUAAGGCGGGACACGAGAAAUCCUGUCUGAAGAAGGGGGGACCAUCCUCCAAGGCUAAAUACUCCUGACUGACCGAUAGUGAACCAGUACCGUGAGGGAAAGGCGAAAAGAACCCCGGCGAGGGGAGUGAAAGAGAACCUGAAACCGUGUACGUACAAGCAGUGGGAGCCUUGAUGAAUCAGGGUGACUGCGUACCUUUUGUAUAAUGGGUCAGCGACUUAUAUUCUGUAGCAAGGUUAACCGAAUAGGGGAGCCGCAGGGAAACCGAGUCUUAACUGGGCGAAAUGAGUUGCAGGGUAUAGACCCGAAACCCGGUGAGCUAGCCAUGGGCAGGUUGAAGGUUGGGUAACACUAACUGGAGGACCGAACCGACUAAUGUUGAAAAAUUAGCGGAUGACUUGUGGCUGGGGGUGAAAGGCCAAUCAAACCGGGAGAUAGCUGGUUCUCCCCGAAAGCUAUUUAGGUAGCGCCUCGUGAGUUCAUCUUCGGGGGUAGAGCACUGUUUCGGCUAGGGGGCCAUCCCGGCUUACCAACCCGAUGCAAACUGCGAAUACCGAAGAAUGUCAUCACGGGAGACACACGGCGGGUGCUAACGUCCGUCGUGAAGAGGGAAACAACCCAGACCGCCAGCUAAGGUCCCGAAGUCAUGGUUAAGUGGGAAACGAUGUGGGAAGGCCCAGACAGCCAGGAUGUUGGCUUAGAAGCAGCCAUCAUUGAAAGAAAGCGUAAUAGCUCACUGGUCGAGUCGGCCUGCGCGGAAGAUGUAACGGGGCUAAACCAUGCGCCGAAGCUGCGGCAUUCAGAGGACAGAUUUCAGAAGACAGAGGACGGAAUGAUGUCAUAUGGAUUCGAGCAAUUGGACGUGUUUAAGAAAGCUUAUCGAAUUUCGUUAGAAAUUCAUCAGGUGAGUUUGACAUUUCCUCAGUACGAACAAUAUGGAUUAGCGGACCAGGUCGGGCGGGCAAGUAAGGGCAUUUGCGCCAACCUUGCCGAGGGCUUUGGUAAGCAGCAUUAUUCCAAACCCGAGUUCAGGCGUUUCAUUAGUAUAGCCUUAGGCAGUGCCGAUGAGAUGCGUGUAUGGUUAAGAUAUUGUCUGGAUUUGGGCUAUAUCAAUCGGGUUCAGUGGCAGGAAUGGCGCGAUGGCUAUGAAGAGAUAGCGAAAAUGCUGACUGGACUGGGGCGGCGUCUGUAAGCUGUAUUCUGACGUCUGUUCUCUGAAUGGGUAGGGGAGCGUUCUGUAAGCCGUUGAAGGCGGCGCCGUGGAGGCCUGCUGGAGGUAUCAGAAGUGCGAAUGCUGACAUAAGUAACGAUAAAGCGGGUGAAAAAACCCGCUCGCCGGAAGACCAAGGGUUCCUGUCCAACGUUAAUCGGGGCAGGGUGAGUCGACCCCUAAGGCGAGGCCGAACGGCGUAGCUGAUGGGAAACAGGUUAAUAUUCCUGUACUGAAUGUGACUGCGAAGGGGGGACGGAGAAGGCUAGGCCAUCCGGGCGACGGUCGUCCCGGUUUAAGCGUGUAGGUGGGAGGAGCAGGCAAAUCCGCUCUUCUUUUAACACUGAGGCGUGAUGACGAGCCGCUACGGCGGUGAAGUGGUUGAUGCCCGGCUUCCAGGAAAAGCCUCUAAGCAUCAGGUGACAUUGAAUCGUACCCCAAACCGACACAGGUGGUCAGGUAGAGAAUACUCAGGCGCUUGAGAGAACUCGGGUGAAGGAACUAGGCAAAAUGGUGCCGUAACUUCGGGAGAAGGCACGCUGGCGUUAGGUGAAGGGGUUGCCCCCGGAGCCGAAGCCAGUCGCAGAGACCAGCUGGCUGCAACUGUUUAUUAAAAACACAGCACUGUGCCAACACGUAAGUGGACGUAUACGGGUGUGACGCCUGCCCGGUGCUGGAAGGUUAAUUGAUGGGUUAGCCGUUAAGGCGACGCUCUUGAUCGAAGCCCAGUAAACGGCGGCC
rnacentral:rRNA from 1 species